rnacentral:lncRNA from 1 species
AGCAGACAGGACUUUCUUAGAUAGACAAACUUGUUCUAGAUUGUUCCAGAAGCAAAUCUUAAGACUAAUAUUUGAGUACAGAUGAUCUGGCAAGAGUCGGAGGGGAUUGAGAGACAUCAGUGAGGGUUGAAUUGAGAGAAAAAAGUGAAGAAAAAUCAUGUUAUUAAAUCAGCUUCUACAUGGGUAAUUGGGACAUAAGGUUUGAGUGGGCUCAGAGAAGAACCUCGAACAACACUGAAGAGUCAUCUUAAGCAAAGGUCACAGGGAUGCAGCUUUUUCUAUACCAGUUCUUUGUCAUUGGUUAAAUCUGCUUUUAGGUUCAUUACAUCUCUGGUGCUGUUUCAUUGACUUAUAGAUCAACUAACAUAUUCCUUUGGUUAGAAAAAGAAUCUCCUUCGGUUCAAAAUCCAAAAUCCACAAGCCACAAUGAGCACAGGUAACAGGCCUUUUUUUUUUUUUUUUUGCAAGAACACAAGAGCAUCUGAAGUUACGAAUGAGGGAUGAACAGUCAUUACCACAGAGACCAUGCUUAGCAAUCAGAGAAAGUUUACAUUAUCCAGAGAUACUCCCAAGGAACGGAUCAUAGAAUGUGCAGCCUCUGACCACAUUAUCGUGGUGUCUUCUAGAAGAGUGUCACGGACCGCUGACUGUUUCCUUUUCCCCAUCUGGUCUCCGCAUCACUCACAGCGUGCCUCCUGCCUUCCCUGAUCUUCCAGGCUGAUGUAUAGCCUUCCUGGGAUGAGUAAAAUGUCAUCAUGUGUGAGCCAAUGUGCUACAAUAUCUGAGAGAAGGGAACGGUAGAAGAAAGAGCUGUGAACUCUUUUGGCUUUGUCUUAUAAACAGAAAUCUGGGUACAAUGUUUUGACCUAUUCUUAGAGGGAUAAUUAUAUCUUAUAUCAAAAAGUCAAUUGUCUUCUUUUGCUUACUUGUGCGUGACCCAUCCACAACUCUAGUG